UGUUGAUUCAUUUGGAGUCAUUACCAUAUGCAAUAUUUAUUAUCUAUUGGAAAAAGGACAUAUUCCAAUGCCAUUUCAAACACUGCUGUUUGAAUUCCAAACUCGGAUGCUAUCGAAAGCGGAUACCUGCAUAUCCAAGAAACCAUUGCAGGAUGGAAUCGAAAUGAUAUCGGUUGGGAAACAUAGAACCUGACUUAUUUCUCUUCUGGGAAUAGACGUGCCCUCCACCACAAGAAACUGCUUUCUACAUUCCACAUAACUUGAUUUGUCAAUUUUACUGGAUUCGAGAAAAUAUUCCUUUAAGUUGACUUGUAGAAACAGAAAUUCAAGGCCAGUUCCCGAAAUAAAUUCUGUGAAUAACAAUUUUGAUUGCCAGAAAACGAUAUCUUCGGUAUCAACCUGAGAAAUCGAAUAACGACAUGCCAUCAGCCAUCAGAAGACCGGCUACAUUCUCAACUCCUUUACGAAUCGGCACAAUUUAUAACGGGAUACAGAAAAUAUUGACGAUGACGUCGAAAUACAAAU